GACGAACGCUGGCGGCGUGCCUAAUACAUGCAAGUCGAGCGAAGUUUUUCUGGUGCUUGCACCGGAAAAACUUAGCGGCGAACGGGUGUGUAACACGUAAAGAACCUGCCUCAUAGACUGGGACAACUAUUGGAAACGAUAGCUAAUACCGGAUAACAGCAUUAACUGCAUGGUUGAUGUUUAAAAGUUGGUUUUGCUAACACUAUGAGAUGGCUUUGCUGUGCAUUAGCUAGUUGGUGGGGUAACGGCUUACCAAGGCGACGAUGCAUAGCCGACCUGAGAGGGUGAUCGGCCACACUGGAACUGAGACACGGUCCAGACUCCUACGGGAGGCAGCAGUAGGGAAUCUUCCGCAAUGGGCGAAAGCCUGACGGAGCAACGCCGCGUGAGUGAAGAAGGACUUCGGUUCGUAAAGCUCUGUUGUUAGGGAAGAAUGAUUGUGUAGUAAACAGAGACAGUAGAGACGGUACCUAACCAGAAAGCCACGGCUAACUACGUG
rnacentral:rRNA from 1 species